UUCCGUUUGUUAAAUAAUGUUCCUCUCGUCAAAACAAAAAAGUUGUCGAAUCUCGAUGCUUUUCGCCGGCCGAAGUUGGAAAUCAAAAGGAUCAACAACGUGCAAGUAGGCACUAGCUAAACCACGAUGAAAUAAAAGUUCAAGGCUUGGCAUGAAUAUGAUUCUUCGUGUUGAGAUUGUCUCGCACUUCAACCUUGAUCUUACUCAGGAUCUCUUUUCCAAUUGGUCGGAAUUUGCGAGUAGUUUUUUGUUUCACAAUUUUGCUCCGCGGAAGAGGAGAGUUACUGGAUGCUGAAGACUUUACUCGCGAAGAAUUGUAGACAGAAACGUUUGAAAUCAAUGUGAAUACAACCGCCAUUGACCAAGUGUCAGUAUUUAUAAACAUUUGUUCAACUGCAAGUUUUUUCACGAACAGAAAUAUACUUAUUUUAUGUGGUAUUUUCAAGGCAUAAUUAAUUUUAAAUUUAUAAUCCUAAAUAUAUAAGUAAAUCUGACGAUUCCUAGCUAAAUGCUCCCAAGUAUUGCAUGUAUAAUCAUAUAGUGAGGAACUGAUUAUAUUUUAAUGUUAGGCUUUUUCCAGCGAUUUGUUUUUCACAUGCCAACAUAUUACAUAUAUAGGACAACCAUCACUUUGCA